CUCCUACGGGAGGCAGCAGUGGGGAAUAUUGCACAAUGGGGGAAACCCUGAUGCAGCAACGCCGCGUGAGUGAAGGAGUAUUUCGGUAUGUAAAGCUCUAUCAGUAGGGAAGAAGAAAGACGGUACCUGACUAAGAAGCCCCGGCUAACUACGUGCCAGCAGCCGCGGUAAUACGUAGGGGGCAAGCGUUAUCCGGAUUUACUGGGUGUAAAGGGAGCGUAGACGGCUGUGCAAGUCUGAAGUGAAGGCCCGCGGCUCAACUGCGGAACGGCGUUGGAAACUGUGUAACUGGAGUGCUGGAGAGG
rnacentral:rRNA from 1 species